UGACAAACCAGAGUGAGGGUGUAGCAUAGCCAAUGAACAAAGGACUUCCCCCACACCAGGCACAGCCAGCUGUCCUAGGCAGAGAAGGAGCCUGCAGUAUUGGACUCCUGGGCCAACUGAGUGCCACUUAUUCAUCUGAAGAAGCAAAAGGAAAUGCUUUCAACCCAGAUCCCAGACACAGAGAGGAGCCCAGGUUUAAAAGCUCCUCCCUGCCAAGGACAGAGUGCCACUCAACUCCAUCUUUGCCCAUAAGUCUCCCUGGGGGACGUCUGGCAAUAGCUAGAGACAUUUGGGGAUGUCAAAACUAGGAAGGACGCUACUGCAUCAGGAAAAGAAGCAAGGGAAGAGUGAAAACACUGGCUUGGAAUGAGCUCUGAUCAUGUCUACUCUCUCCUACUCCUACUUUUUCUUGGAGCUACAAAGAUAAAUUGUUUGAGUCUUUAGGAGAGCCUAACUCCUUAUUCAAGUAUUUCCUUGCUCCUGGAUGUGGAAAAAUUGCUUAAAUAAAAACUACUCAAAAGAAAAAAAAACUACCCAAAGAAGUUAUUAAGUAUUACAAAAGAAAAAUGAAGGCAUUGAUGAAACCUACUAGAGAUUAUUUGGGGGACAGCCAAAUGUCAGAGGCCUGUGAAAUAACACGAAGUGGUGUACUGAAAAUGUAUUCAUACGUCAAUUCUUGCCACAUAAGGUUUGCCUGGAGGCCCCAAAGCAAGCAACAUGGCUCAUCUAAGUAAAGAGCCAGCCAAGAUAAUCUAAUGACCUAAGAAUCUAAUGACACUAUACACUGUCUCUGAUCCUGCUUGGUUUUAUUUUAACAGACCGAUUUUUAUUGCUUCUUUUCUGUGAGUGUCUGCAAUGAUUCCCUGCCACUGCUUACUGAAAUAUUUUCUUAAAUUAUGAGUUGAGUUUUUUAAAACGCAGUAUUAAAAAUAUUCAUUCAGCAUGUUAUUAAUUACUAGUAUGAAUUGUUGGCAGGAUUGGACUAUAGAGGAGUAAUUGCUUUAACCACAUUAUCUA
rnacentral:lncRNA from 10 species